rnacentral:tRNA from 1 species
AGUCCCAUAGUGUAGUAGGUCAAGCACCGUGGACUUUGGAUCCGCAGACGAAGGUUCGAAUCCUUCUGGGACUA